UACGUAGGUGGCAAGCGUUGUCCGGAUUUACUGGGCGUAAAGAGCGCGCAGGCGGUCGUUCAAGUCGCGUGUGAAAGCCCCCGGCUCAACUGGGGAGGGUCACGCGAUACUGAUCGACUCGAAGGCAGGAGAGGGAAGUGGAAUUCCCGGUGUAGUGGUGAAAUGCGUAGAUAUCGGGAGGAACACCAGUGGCGAAGGCGGGUUGCUGGGCUGACACUGACGCUGAACUGCGAAAGCUAGGGGAGCGAACGGG
rnacentral:rRNA from 1 species